AGCGAACGCUGGCGGCAGGCUUAACACAUGCAAGUCGAACGGGCGUAGCAAUACGUCAGUGGCAGACGGGUGAGUAACGCGUGGGAACGUACCUUUGGUUCGGAACAACCCAGGGAAACUUGGGCUAAUACCGGAUAAGCCCUUACGGGGAAAGAUUUAUCGCCGAAAGAUCGGCCCGCGUCUGAUUAGCUAGUUGGUGUGGUAACGGCGCACCAAGGCGACGAUCAGUAGCUGGUCUGAGAGGANGAUCAGCCACAUUGGGACUGAGACACGGCCCAAACUCCUACGGGAGGCAGCAGUGGGGAAUAUUGGACAAUGGGCGCAAGCCUGAUCCAGCCAUGCCGCGUGAGUGAUGAAGGCCCUAGGGUUGUAAAGCUCUUUUGUGCGGGAAGAUAAUGACGGUACGCAAGAAUAAGCCCCGGCUAACUUCGUGCCAGCCGCCGCGGUAAC
rnacentral:rRNA from 1 species